rnacentral:tRNA from 1 species
AAGGAUUUAAGUUAAUUCAAAACUAAUAGCCUUCAAAGCUAUAAAUAAAGAAAGCUAUCCUCCCCUUUAAGCCUUA